rnacentral:rRNA from 1 species
CCUACGGUGGGCAGCAGUGAGGAAUAUUGGUCAAUGGGCGAGAGCCUGAACCAGCCAAGUCGCGUGAAGGAUGAAGGAUCUAUGGUUUGUAAACUUCUUUUAUAUGGGCAUAAAGUGAUGAACGUGUUCCUUUUUGUAUGUACCAUAUGAAUAAGCAUCGACUAACUCCGUGCCUGCAUCCGCGGGAAUACUGAGGAGGCGGGCGUUAUACGGAUUUAUUGGGUUUAAAGGGUGCGUAGGUGGUUAAUUAAGUCAGCGGUGAAAGUUUGUGGGUCAACCAUAAAAUUGCCGUUGAAACUGGUUGACUUGAGUAUAUUUGAGGUAGGCGGAAUGCGUGGUGUAGCGGGGAAAUGCAUAGAUAUCACGCAGAACUCCGAUUGCGAAGGCAGCUUACUAAACUAUAACUGACACUGAAGCACGAAAGCGUGGGGAUCAAACAGGAUUAGAUACCCCAGUAGUC